rnacentral:rRNA from 1 species
UACGUAGGGGGCAAGCGUUGUCCGGAUUUAUUGGGCGUAAAGAGCGUGUAGGCGGCCAGGUAGGUCAGCUGUGAAAACUCGAGGCUCAACCUCGAGACGCCGGUUGAAACCAUCUGGCUAGAGUCCGGAAGAGGAGAGUGGAAUUCCUGGUGUAGCGGUGAAAUGCGCAGAUAUCCUCAGGAACACCGGUGGCGAAGGCGACUCACUGGGUCUUUACUGACGCUGAUGCACGAAAGCUAGGGUAGCAAACGGG